GAUUACAGAGGCGAGAGUGGCAAGGAAGGUAUUUGUACCGGACCCCUUCCUCCGCGACAGCGUCCUCUCCGCGCCCUACUGAAUGUCCUGUGAAACCGAGACUUGGACGAGAUUAACUGGACCCUGGAGUCGGGAGACAAGAGGAACCGCUCUAAGAUUCUGCCUGAACAUCCACUUUACAGCUGAAGGUGUGUUCUGAAAGAGGAACCUCAGAAGAUCAAGAACCUGGGGGCUGGAGAGAUGGCUCAGCAGUUAAGAGCACUGACUGCUCUUGCAGAGGA